AUUGAUAUGUCCUGGUUGUUGUGAAGUAUUUUGUAGCCGGUCCUGCUGAGGGGAGAAGGGAAAGGCACCUUGGAAGUGCUUAGGCAAGAGGCCUGCGGGCAUACAUAUACCCGUAGUAUGUACUCUGUCUAUGCACACUAGUUUUCUCCUUUCAGGUAGCCUGUUUCUGGUCUCAGGUUCAGAGAUGUAUCAUGACACAAGAUGAGACCGGUGGGAUGGGCUGAGGGUUGGAAUUGGAGACAAGUGGGCGUGGAGCGACGCUCAAAGUUAAAAAAACAAAAAACCACCUUCAAAUUGGAUGAUGGCCUCCUACUGCAUGACAUCUCUGCUACAUGCUGCUUCCUGUAUGCUCGUGAGGAAGCCUCCCUCCGCUACCUCUGUCAACUGAGCCCCCUCCUGUAUGCUUGUGAGGAAGCCUACUGCCACCUCUGUCACCUGACAAACCAUCUCCUGCAGGCCACCUGAACUAAAGUCGGCAUCUUCUGCAUCGAGCUGGGUCUACGCUCUCCUUCACUCUCUUGUUCUCUCUGUCUUUCUCAUCUAAAACUCCUACAUCUGCUUCCCUGUCCUCUCCUUCAAAAAUAGAAAAUUCAAGACUUUAAAGCUGUUGUAUUGAUUUAAAACAAUGACGCAUCUAUAAUUGCGACAAACUUUGUAGUUGGCUUACUUCUCUUUCUACUAUGCUGUACAUCUGUUGCAGAUUGAGGGGGUGGAUUCAUGCAAUUUAUUCUGGUAGGUACUGCCUCGGAGGACUGAACCCUGUUGAAAGAUACAUUUUUACCAGAAAACUAUUUUUAUUGACAAAGAUUAGCUGUACCUUUUAAUCAGAAUAAAACACUCUUCAAAGUGCUCCUCGCACAAAUUAUAACCCCCUUUCUUCAGGUCCUCGAAGGACUUCUGCAGACAUGUCCCUACACCUGACGUUUCUCAGCCAUAUCUUCCUCCUGAGUAAUUGCAAUCUCAGGUUUAAUCUCAGAUUUUAUUGAAUUCACACAAAAAAAUGUAAUUUCAGGCUUUGUUUUCCAUUUUAUGGAAAUAUGACUGACUCUCUUCUCUCUCGAGCCCUGCGAGAGCAGCUUCUACCCUUUCCAGGACCGGAAGAGAUUGUUGUGUGUAUAAAGUUUAUGAUUUGUGUUCUCAAUCCUUGUUCUCUUAUACCUCUACACACUACACUGAAGUUUUAAAUAGUCCUUUAGAUGUUCCUGAGUCUGAGGACACCUCCUGUCACCUGAACCCCCUGCAGACCACCUGAACUGCAUUAGGCAUCAUUUGCUGGAGUUGGGUCUAUGCUCAUGGUCUCCUGUUCUCUUCCUCACCUCUUCUGGAUGUUGGCCUAUGCUUAAGGUCUUCAGU
rnacentral:lncRNA from 1 species